UCAGGUACCUGGAGCCAUGGAGACUCCCUGUUGCCAAAUGUUGUGGUUUAAAUCCAGUCUCUGUUUUUCCUUCCUGGAGACCAGGGCUUUCCUGAGACUCAUCCACACACACAGCUCUUCCUUUGUGCUCUGAAGUCAUUUCCUGCAAAGACAGCUCCCCCGGGAGGUCCGAGUCCCGAGGUCAAGCCCUCAGCACCCAGUCUCUUCCUGAAAGCUUAUCUGGCAACUUAGACCUAAGUAUGAGAAACUACCGGAUCAAGUCCAAAGGCUGCUUUGCAAAACCACCAAGGCCGAAAGCAAUGCUUCAAAGGUGCGACACAAACUCACACUACCCAUGUUCUCCAGCUGGGGGAGAUCGAAGGCUGAUGAUGAAGUCUUGUUGGAGGCUCCUCAUUCCGUGGUUGGCUGAAGCCCACGUGUGUCCUCCACCUGAGGCCUGAGCUUUUCCGUAACCUAGAGGCUGGGUUCCAAAAGCAGGGGAAGGAGCAAGAGGGAGAGGAGGAAGGGAGGGGGAGAAUGGGGAGGAGAGAAGAAAAGGAGAAAGCGGGAGAGGGGGAUGGGGCAGAAAAGGAGGGAGCCAGGUUAGAGAUAAGACAAGUGGGACAAAAUAUAGAAAACAGUAGAAACCAUGAAUUAUAAAGAAAACCACUGAUGGCCCAGUCUUCUUCAGAUUAAGGAAUGGGAUUUGACACUUUCUAAAAGCUGAUUUCCUGGAAGAUAAUUUACAUACCAUACAACCUAACCAUUUAAAGUGCAACAUUAUCAUUUUGCUAUGUUCACAGAGGCACAGCAAUUCAUUUAAAACAUCGUCACCAUCCCACACUGAGCUCUUGCUUUCCUUAGCAUGGGCAGUAGCAGUAGUGACUGUCCCCUGGACUGCCCAGGUCUACCUUCUGUCUAUGUACAGUUGCC
rnacentral:lncRNA from 1 species